GAUGAACGCUGGCGGCGUGCUUAACACAUGCAAGUCGAACGGGAAUUACUUUAUUGAAACUUCGGUCGAUCUAAUUUAAUUCUAGUGGCGGACGGGUGAGUAACGCGUGGGUAACCUGCCUUGUACAGGGGGAUAACAGUCAGAAAUGACUGCUAAUACCGCAUAAGCGCACAGAGCUGCAUGGCUCGGUGUGAAAAACUCCGGUGGUAUAAGAUGGACCCGCGUUGGAUUAGCUAGUUGGUGAGGUAACGGCCCACCAAGGCGACGGUCCAUAGCCGGCCUGAGAGGGUGAACGGCCACAUUGGGACUGAGACACGGCCCAGACUCCUACGGGAGGCAGCAGUGGGGAAUAUUGCACAAUGGGGGAAACCUUGAUGCAGCGACGCCGCGUGAUGGAAGAAGUAUCUCGGUAUGUAAACUUCUAUCAGCAGGGAAGAGAUUGACGGUACCUGACUAAGAAGCCCCGGCUAACUACGUGCCAGCAGCCGCCGUAA
rnacentral:rRNA from 1 species